GACAUUGUGUAAAACAAAAAAAAAACUCAUGCAUCAACAUUGCAAACAUGUCCAUUAGCCCUAGGUAGUGGUGAAUUGACCAAGAAUGGGUCGUUGGAAAGAGUUUAGCAUCGCGCCAUUGAAUCGGCUUCAGAGUUGGGUUCCCCAGCAUAGUUGAGAGGUUGGUGUUUUCUCAGCAAGCGACUCCUUAGUCAAGCAGGUAUCCCCAGCAGUGUUAUCC
rnacentral:lncRNA from 1 species